rnacentral:rRNA from 1 species
AUUGAACGCUGGCGGCAGGCUUAACACAUGCAAGUCGAGCGGAGAUGAGGUGCUUGCACCUUAUCUUAGCGGCGGACGGGUGAGUAAUGCUUAGGAAUCUGCCUAUUAGUGGGGGACAACAUUCCGAAAGGAAUGCUAAUACCGCAUACGUCCUACGGGAGAAAGCAGGGGAUCUUCGGACCUUGCGCUAAUAGAUGAGCCCAAGUCGGAUUAGCUAGCUGGUGGGGUAAAGGCCUACCAAGGCGACGAUCUGUAGCGGGUCUGAGAGGAUGAUCCGCCACACUGGGACUGAGACACGGCCCAGACUCCUACGGGAGGCAGCAGUGGGGAAUAUUGGACAAUGGGGGGAACCCUGAUCCAGCCAUGCCGCGUGUGUGAAGAAGGCCUUAUGGUUGUAAAGCACUUUAAGCGAGGAGGAGGCUACUGAGACUAAUACUCUUGGAUAGUGGACGUUACUCGCAGAAUAAGCACCGGCUAACUCUGUGCCAGCCGCCGCAGUAACAC